rnacentral:rRNA from 1 species
AUUGAACGCUGGCGGCAUGCCUUACACAUGCAAGUCGAACGGCAGCACGGGUGCUUGCACCUGGUGGCGAGUGGCGAACGGGUGAGUAAUACAUCGGAACAUGUCCUGUAGUGGGGGAUAGCCCGGCGAAAGCCGGAUUAAUACCGCAUACGAUCCACGGAUGAAAGCGGGGGACCUUCGGGCCUCGCGCUAUAGGGUUGGCCGAUGGCUGAUUAGCUAGUUGGUGGGGUAAAGGCCUACCAAGGCGACGAUCAGUAGCUGGUCUGAGAGGACGACCAGCCACACUGGGACUGAGACACGGCCCAGACUCCUACGGGAAGCAGCAGUGGGGAAUUUUGGACAAUGGGCGAAAGCCUGAUCCAGCAAUGCCGCGUGUGUGAAGAAGGCCUUCGGGUUGUAAAGCACUUUUGUCCGGAAAGAAAUCCUUGACUCUAAUACAGUCGGGGGAUGACGGUACCGGAAGAAUAAGCACCGGCUAACUACGUG